rnacentral:rRNA from 1 species
AUUGAACGCUGGCGGAAUGCUUUACACAUGCAAGUCGAACGGCAGCACGGGGGCAACCCUGGUGGCGAGUGGCGAACGGGUGAGUAAUACAUCGGAACGUGCCCGGUCGUGGGGGAUAACGUAGCGAAAGUUACGCUAAUACCGCAUACGAUCUGAGGAUGAAAGCGGGGGACCUUCGGGCCUCGCGCGAUCGGAGCGGCCGAUGUCAGAUUAGGUAGUUGGUGGGGUAAAGGCCUACCAAGCCGACGAUCUGUAGCUGGUCUGAGAGGACGACCAGCCACACUGGGACUGAGACACGGCCCAGACUCCUACGGGAGGCAGCAGUGGGGAAUAUUGGACAAUGGGCGCAAGCCUGAUCCAGCCAUACCGCGUGCAGGACGAAGGCCUUCGGGUUGUAAACUGCUUUUGUAGGGAACGAAAAGGCUCAGGCUAAUACCUGGGUCUCAUGACGGUACCGUAAGAAUAAGCACCGGCUAACUACGUG